rnacentral:antisense_RNA from 1 species
UCCCAGCGCUUCGCGUACCAGGAAGGGGACGGCGUCCUGAAAGGGACAUUUAAAAAACGGAGGCAACGCGUCUAUUAAUUAGGUGGCGGCGCCUGGGGUCGCAGCACUCAAGAGGCUGAGAGUCUCGCCCUUUUGCCUAGUGGAGGAGCUCGGCUCACUGCAAGCUCCGCGCCACAACCCCCCCGCCGCCCCAGGUUCAAGCGAUUCUCCUGCCUCAGUCUCCCGAGUAGACUGGGAUUACAGAAUGGUGGGGUGGAAGAGUUCCUAGUUUUAAAGGAGAAGUACAAGAAGACCCAUAAUGGUUAGCAAGAUAUAUAGAAAACGGUAGACACAGCAGCACACUUUUCAAGUCAGGUCCUCCAGGAUGCUCAGCAUGGGCCAAGGCGCCUCCUUCUCCUCCUUCUCCCUGCCCAGUCCAUCUCCUGUGGGGGGUGGGGUGGCCAGAGGGGUCCUCAGACAACCCAAAAAGGGAG